AGUGUCAGCAGCCGCGGUAAAACGUAGGGGGCGAGCGUUGUCCGGAAUUACUGGGCGUAAAGGGCGCGUAGGCGGUUUAAUAAGUCUCAAGGUGAAAACUAUCGGCUUAACCGGUAGCCUGCCUGAGAAACUGUUAGACUUGAGGGCAGGAGAGGGGAGUGGAAUUCCCAGUGUAGCGGUGAAAUGCGUAGAUAUUGGGAGGAACACCAGUGGCGAAGGCGGCUCUCUGGCCUGUUACUGACGCUGAGGCGCGAAAGCGUGGGGAGCGAACGGGAUUAGAUACCCCGGUAGUCCACGCCGUAAACGAUGGGUGCUAGGUGUAGGAGGUAUCGACCCCUUCUGUGCCGUAGUUAACACAAUAAGCACCCCGCCUGGGGAGUACGGCCGCAAGGUUGAAACUCAAAGGAAUUGACGGGGGCCCGCACA
rnacentral:rRNA from 1 species